rnacentral:rRNA from 1 species
GAGUUUGAUCCUGGCUCAGAUUGAACGCUGGCGGCAUGCCUUACACAUGCAAGUCGAACGGCAGCACGGGAGCUUGCUCCUGGUGGCGAGUGGCGAACGGGUGACGUAAUGCAUCGGAACGUAUCCUGGAGUGGGGGAUAACGUAGCGAAAGUUACGCUAAUACCGCAUAUUCUGUGAGCAGGAAAGCGGGGGACCUUCGGGCCUCGCGCUCUUGGAGCGGCCGAUGUCGGAUUAGCUAGUUGGUGAGGUAAAGGCUCACCAAGGCGACGAUCCGUAGCAGGUCUGAGAGGAUGAUCUGCCACACUGGAACUGAGACACGGUCCAGACUCCUACGGGAGGCAGCAGUGGGAUUUGGACAAUGGGGCAACCCUGAUCCAGCCAUGCCGCGUGAGUG